GACGAACGCUGGCGGCGUGCCUAAUACAUGCAAGUCGAGCGAAUGAUGAGGAGCUUGCUCCUCUGAUUUAGCGGCGGACGGGUGAGUAACACGUGGGCAACCUGCCCUGUAGACUGGGAUAACUUCGGGAAACCGGAGCUAAUACCGGAUAAUUCUUUUAGCCUCAUGGCUUUAAGCUAAAAGGCGCUUCGGCGUCACUACAGGAUGGGCCCGCGGUGCCUGAGCUAGUUGGUGGGGUAACGGCCUACCAAGGCAACGAUGCAUAGCCGACCUGGGAGGGUGAUCGGCCACAUUGGGACUGAGACACGGCCCAAACUCCUGCGGGAGGCAGCAGUAGGGAAUCUUCCACAAUGGACGAAAGUCUGAUGGAGCAACGCCGCGUGAGUGAUGAAGGUUUUCGGAUCGUAAAACUCUGUUGUAAGGGAAGAACAAGUGCGUUAGGUAAUGAACGCACCUUGACGGUACCUUAUUAGAAAGCCACGGCUAACUACGUGCCAGCCGCCGCCGUAA
rnacentral:rRNA from 1 species